rnacentral:rRNA from 1 species
AAACUUUCAACAACGGAUCUCUUGGUUCUCGCAUCGAUGAAGAACGCAGCGAAACGCGAUAGUUAAUGUGAAUUGCAGAAUUCAGUGAAUCAUCGAGUCUUUGAACGCACAUUGCGCCCAUCGGUAUUCCGAUGGGCAUGUCUGUUUGAGC